ensembl:lncRNA
AAAAUCCGUGAAGACUUGAAUUUGAAUCCUAAGCGUUCAGAAUACAACGCUCCCUUCGCGUGCGUGUGCGCUUGUGUAUACGAGCUGCCGCAUCCCGUUUCACUCAGCAUCCGCUCUCGCGCGUUUCCCGGUAACCGAGCACCGCGCUCCCGCCGCCUUACCGGAGCCACCGUGUCUCUGACCGAGGCGCUCUGCCUUCUGAAGGAUAAUCGCCCGGAUUCGGUGCCUGAGCCUUUCCCGACACAUCUAGCAGAGAUUAAAAGAGCUAUCCGGGGAUUUUACACUGAAUCAUGCUCAGCGUUGACGAAGAGAUUAUUACGAAUGUGUGCCGGGAAUGAAGACAUUCGCUGAAUGAAGCACAUCAGGGUCACGGUGGAAAUGCUGCGGAGAGGUGUUUAUUUAGUAUUAAGAGACCGAUCAGACUGAAGAGGUUUUGGAGUAGCCGAUGGGUCAGUCUCUAUCGUGCUAGAGUGCACUGAUAGGGCUCUACGGGAGCUCCUUGUGUGUCUGUACACUCCUCGGGAGUUCUCCAGGAGAUGGGGGUUGAGGAGGUGGAACAAGAAUUUGGAGUGUCUCCGAGAGACCGUCUAUUUGGAUGCUUCAUCUUAGACCUCAUCCGUUUCUGUUAGAUUGGAGAAGAGAGCGGCAUUACUUGUCGUCUUGUGCAGCCUUAGCCUGGCGAGCAUGACUCGACUCCAGCUGUGCCGCGUCUUCAGUCUUCAGCCUUCAGCCUUCAGCUGUGUGUUGUGGUGCUGUCCAAGGUGCUAAUGGAGUGUGUGUCCUGGAAGAGCUCUCUGGUUGGUGCACAGAGAGCUUGAUUUAACAUGACUUUCUUCUGACUAGAUUGUGAGUAGCUUUGCAUAAAACAACUAGGUUUGAACAGCAUAAGUUAUUAGCUAGAGAUUUAAUUUCUAAUUUAGCUACAAUUAAAAACAUUAAAUAAAAGAAUAUUCUAUUCAGCAUGGAUGCUUUAAAUUGUGGAUGUGAAGGCAAAGACUUUUGCAUUGUUACUAAAAAAAGAAUUGAAGAAUUGAAAAAUGGCUGCUAAAAUUCAGUUUUGCCACCAUAGAAAAAUAAAUUACAUAUAAAAAAAUAUAGUACAUUGUAAUAUUUUGUGUGACCUCCUGUAAGUGUCAGUAGUUCUG